rnacentral:lncRNA from 1 species
AAAUGGGGCAUGGAAGAACGACAGUAGUGCCCUUCCUGGAUGGACAGACCAGGGGUACCACUCUGCUCGGGCUGCAUUGGAAGUAAGGGAUAGACUGGCAUCCUACUUCAUGAGUGACGGCCAGGUGCCAUGGCAGGAAAGUGUCGUGACCCGUGCAGGACGGCAGGAAAUGUGAACCAUGCCAGUACCUAGAGGAACGUCCAUUGGCUGCUCGCCUUUUGGCAGACCUGCAGGACAGGCCACAUCAUUACAUUCAAGAAAUGCACUGGAAAAGUAUGUCUGCUUCCAAUCAAAGAAAGUGCGCACAGCUUUCUUACCCUGGAUCUGGGGCAGCGGCUCCUGCUUGUGAAGUUGACAACCUGCCUCAAAAAAAUGUUUGUUAUGGUGUCAUAUUCCGACACAAGGAAGUGAACACUAACUUACCCUGAAGAGCCAGCAGCAGAUGCCGCACCUUCUGAUGUGCUGGGGAGCCUAUAGAAAAAAUAAAUAUGUUGCAAUU